CCAUUAUAACCUCCAGAGAUACACAAAGACUAUUUGGCUGGCGACUAAACUGUAGUCCGGUGUAAACUAAACAUCGUAGCCCCCCACCUGCCAUAUCUUCUUCAUGAGGUUGGCCCCCAAGUCACUAAAAGACAAGGUUCUUCCCCAUGACUCCAUCCUACAGCAUUUUGCCAGUCUCAUUCAAAUUUUUAACAUUAUAAGCACAUUUAA